rnacentral:rRNA from 1 species
UACGGGAGGCAGCAGUGGGGAAUAUUGCACAAUGGGCGAAAGCCUGAUGCAGCUAUGCCGCGUGUAUGAAGAAGGCCUUAGGGUUGUAAAGUACUUUCAUCGGGGAGGAAAAACAAACUAAUAAUUUUAUUUCUUGACGUUACCCGAAAAAGAAGCACCGGCUAACUCCGUGCCAGCAGCCGCGGUAAUACGGAGGGUGCGAGCGUUAAUCGGAAUUACUGGGCGUAAAGGGCACGCAGGCGGUUAAUUAAGUUGGAUGUGAAAUCCCCGGGCUUAACCUGGGAAUGGCAUUCAAGACUGGUUAGCUAGAGUCUUGUAGAGGGGGUAGAAUUCCAUGUGUAGCGGUGAAAUGCGUAGAGAUGUGGAGGAAUACCGGUGGCGAAGGCGGCCCCUGGACAAGACUGACGCUCAUGUGCGAAAGCGUGGGGAGCAAACAGGGAUUAGAUACCCGU